GGGGUUGUAGCUUAGCGGUAAAGCACUUGCGUAGCACGUGCAUGGCCCUGAGUUCGAUCCUCAGCACCCCA
rnacentral:tRNA from 1 species